AUUGAACGCUGGCGGCAGGCCUAACACAUGCAAGUCGAACGAGUGGCGGACGGGUGAGUAAUGUCUGGGAAACUGCCCGCGGGAGGGGGAUAACUCCUGGAGACGGGAGCUAAUACCGCAUACCCUCGGGGGUGCCCCCAUGGGGUUAGCUAGUAGGUGGGGGAACGGCUCACCGAGGCGACGAUCCCUAGCUGGUCUGAGAGGAUGACCAGCCACACUGGGACUGAGACACGGUCCAGACUCCUACGGGAGGCAGCAGUGGGGAAUAUUGCACAAUGGGCGCAAGCCUGAUGCAGCCAUGCCGCGUGUAUGAAGAAGGCCUUCGGGUUGUAAAGUACUUUCAGCGAGGAGGCGUUACUCGCAGAAGAAGCACCGGCUAACUCCGUGCCAGCAGCCGCGGUAAUUC
rnacentral:rRNA from 1 species